rnacentral:rRNA from 1 species
GAUGGACGCUAGCUACAGGCUUAACACAUGCAAGUCGAGGGGUAACAAGAGAAAAGCUUGCUUUUCUUGUUGGCGACCGGCGCACGGGUGAGUAACGCGUAUCCAACCUGCCUAUAACUAGGGAAUAACCUUGCGAAAGUAAGACUAAUACCCUAUGAUUUCCUUUGAUGACAUCAGAUUAGGAAUAAAGAUUUAUCGGUUAUAGAUGGGGAUGCGUCUGAUUAGCUUGUUGGCGGGGUAACGGCCCACCAAGGCAACGAUCAGUAGGGGUUCUGAGAGGAAGGUCCCCCACAUUGGAACUGAGACACGGUCCAAACUCCUACGGGAGGCAGCAGUGAGGAAUAUUGGUCAAUGGGCGGAAGCCUGAACCAGCCAAGUAGCGUGCAGGAUGACGGCCCUAUGGGUUGCAAACUGCUUUUAUACAGGAAUAAAGUUAGCCACGUGUGGUUAUUUGUAGGUACUGUAUGAAUAAGGACCGGCUAAUUCCGUGCCAGCCGCCGCCGUAA